ensembl:lncRNA novel transcript
GGGUUCCGGAUGGACUGGUGUUCCCAGCACCCCCCCGGCACGUGUCCACGCGUGUGGCCCCGGUAAAAUACCUGUUUUCUGACAAGACUAGGACUCUUACAUAGACUGCCAUGAACUACAAGAAGUAUAGCAUUGCUCAAAUAACCUGUGGUUAGAGUUACUUGUUAUUGGUAAAUAGCCACUGUGGAGACUAAGGACCAAAAGAAACACAGAAAGAAAUUUUACAGAAGAAAAACAGUGGGCCCAAAGCUGAAAAGAAAAAGAAGCAGCAUCUGCAGGAUCUCCAGCUAGGGGAUGAAGAAGAUGUCUGGAAGAGAAAUCCCAAAGCUUUUGCAAUUCAGUCUGCUGUGGGGAUGGCUUGAUCCUUUCACAGGACUCAGGAUUUGAAGACAAAAAAGCAUCAUAUUCCAGUGGUUGAUCAGACUCCACUAGAGCCGCCACCAAUAGUGAUAGUGGUGACGGGGCCUCCAAAAGUUGGAAAGAGCACUUUGAUAUAAUGCCUCAUUGGGAACUUCACCCAGCAGAAGUUGACCGAGAUCAGAGGCCCUGUGAUGAUCGUGUCAGGUAAAAAGCUCCGACUCACCAUUAUUGAAUGUGGGUGUGACAUUAACAUGAUGAUUGAUCUGGCUGAAGUAGCAGAUCUGGUUGCCAAGCUGUUCUACCUUUCUGGAAUGGUGCAUGGAGAAUAUCAAGACCAAGAAAUCCACAAUCUGGGCCAUUUUAUUACAGUUAUGAAGUUUAGGCCUCUCACAUGGCAGACGUCUCAUCCUUAUAUCCUGGCAGACAGGAUGGAAGAUUUGAAAAACCCAGAGGAUAUCUGAACAAAA